UACGUAGGCAGCAAGCGUUGUUCGGAGUUACUGGGCGUAAAGGGUGCGUAGGCGGCUUUUUAAGUUUGGUGUGAAAUCUCCCGGCUCAACCGGGAGGGUGCGCCGAAUACUGAGAGGCUAGAGUGUGGGAGAGGAAAGUGGAAUUCCUGGUGUAGCGGUGAAAUGCGUAGAUAUCAGGAGGAACACCAGUGGUGUAAACGGCUUUCUGGACCAUAACUGACGCUGAGGCACGAAAGCGUGGGUAGCAAACAGG
rnacentral:rRNA from 1 species